rnacentral:miRNA from 1 species
CGCCGGAUCUGGAGGUAGACCA